rnacentral:rRNA from 1 species
UCCUUGGUGAUUCAUGAUAACUUAACGAAUCGCAUGGCCCUGCGCCGGCGAUGGUUCAUUCAAAUUUCUGCCCUAUCAACAUUCGAUGGUAGGAUAGUGGCCUACCAUGGUUUCAACGGGUAACGGGGAAUUAGGGUUCUAUUCCGGAGAGGGAGCCUGAGAAACGGCUACCACAUCCAAGGAAGGCAGCAGGCGCGCAAUUACCCAAUCCCAACCUGGGGAGGUAGUGACAAUAAAUACUGAUACAGGGCUCUUUUGGGUCUCGUAACUGGAAUGAGUACAAUUUAAAUCCCUUAACGAGGAACAAUUGGAGGGCAAGUCUGGUGCCAGCAGCCGCGGUAAUUCCAGCUCCAAUAGCGUAUAUUAAAGUUGUUGCAGUUAAAAAGCUCGUAGUUGAACCUUGGGUCUUGUUAGCGGGUGCCUCCCAACGGGGGUUACCAUCGACAGGCAGGGCCUUUCUCCUUGAGUAGUCCGGCGUGCCCUUCGCUGGGUGUGCCGGGCAAUCGGGACUUUUACUUUGAAAAAAUUAGAGUGUUCAAAGCAGGCAUAUGCUCGGAUACAUUAGCAUGGAAUAAUAGAAUAGGACGUUUCGGCUUAUUUUGUUGGUAUUGACGGCCGGCCGUAAUGAUUAAUAGGGAUAGUCGGGGGCAUCAGUAUUCAAUUGUCAGAGGUGAAAUUCUUGGAUUUAUUGAAGACUAACUACUGCGAAAGCAUUUGCCAAGGAUGUUUUCAUUAAUCAGUGAACGAAAGUUAGGGGAUCGAAGACGAUCAGAUACCGUCGUAGUCUUAACCAUAAACUAUGCCGACUAGGGAUCGGGCGAUGUUGUUAUACUGACUCGCUCGGCACCUUACGAGAAAUCAAAGUCUUUGGGUUCUGGGGGGAGUAUGGUCGCAAGGCUGAAACUUAAAGGAAUUGACGGAAGGGCACCACCAGGAGUGGAGCCUGCGGCUUAAUUUGACCCAACACGGGGAAACUCACCAGGUCCAGACACAUUAAGGAUUGACAGAUUGAGAGCUCUUUCUUGAUCAUGUGGGUGGUGGUGCAUGGCCGUUCUUAGUUGGUGGAGUGAUUUGUCUGCUUAAUUGCGAUAACGAACGAGACCUUAACCUGCUAAAUAGCCAGGCCCGCAUCAGGCGGGUCGCCUGGCUUCUUAGAGGGACUAUCGGCUCAAGCCGAUGGAAGUUUGAGGCAAUAACAGGUCUGUGAUGCCCUUAGAUGUUCUGGGC